rnacentral:lncRNA from 1 species
UUUUCUGCGCCACCUCCUCUCCUCUCUUCUUCUUCUUCUUCUUCUUCUUUCUUUCCUUUUUCUUUCUUUCCCUUUCUUCUUCCCUGCAACUGUGUCUGCGUCACUGCCAGCAGCUCCAGUAACGUCAGUCGAUCACCACCGCGCGCCAGUUGCAGUCAGCACCGCCUCCAUCGCGCGCCAACAUGUCCCGCAGCUCCUCCGCGCACCACAGUCAGCCCUCUGCCAGGCCUGUCGCUCCUACAACAGCAGCACCAGCGUCAAG